rnacentral:lncRNA from 1 species
GGGCUAAUGAUGAGAAAUACAAUUAUCUUAGCGGAUUUCAGUGAGAUUACUUACUUGUAAUCAAUGAUCUGAUUGUUACACACAUUGAAGCUCUUAGUAAUUUUUUUUAAUAAAAUGGGAUGUAAAUAAUAAUAAUAAUAGCAGUGAUGAGGCAAAACACAUGAGGAUGUGUUUAGGGAAGUGGACAAUACAAUGGAAGUUGUGUUGCCGUGAUCCCCAAUUUAAACGACUUCUCCUUCCACUGAGCUUU